CCUACGGGAGGCAGUAGUGGGGAAUUUUUCGCAAUGGGGGCAACCCUGACGAAGCAAUGCCGCGUGGAUGAAGAAGGCCUUCGGGUUGUAAAGUCCUUUCGUGGGGGACGAAAAGGUGGUUCCUAAUACGAGCUGCUGUUGACGUGAACCCAAGAAGAAGCACCGGCUAACUCCGUGCCAGCAGCCGCGGUAAUACGGGGGGUGCAAGCGUUAAUCGGAAUCACUGGGCGUAAAGGGUGCGUAGGCGGUACGUUAGGUCUGUCGUGAAAUCCCCGGGCUCAACCUGGGAAUGGCGGUAGAAACCGGCGCACUAGAGUAUGGGAGAGGGUGGUGGAAUUCCAGGUGUAGCGGUGAAAUGCGUAGAGAUCUGGAGGAACAUCAGUGGCGAAGGCGGCCACCUGGCCCAAUACUGACGCUGAGGCACGAAAGCGUGGGGAGCAAACAGGAUUAGAUACCCUGGUAGUCCACGCCCUAAACGAUGAAUACUAGAUGUUUUGGUACCUAANCGUACUGAGUUGUCGUAACUAACGCGAUUAAGUAUUCCCGCCUGGGAAGUACGGCCGCAAGGUUAAAACUCAAAGGAAUAGACGG
rnacentral:rRNA from 1 species